CCUACGGGAGGCAGCAGUGAGGAAUAUUGGUCAAUGGGCGUAAGCCUGAACCAGCCAAGUCGCGUGAGGGAUGAAGGUUCUAUGUAUCGUAAACCUCUUUUAUCAGGGAAUAAAGUGCGGGACGUGUCCCGUUUUGUGUGUACCUUAUGAAUAAGGAUCGACUAACUCCGUGCCAGCAGCCGCGGUAAUACGGAGGAUCCGAGCGUUAUCCGGAUUUAUUGGGUUUAAAGGGUGCGUAGGCGGCCUUUUAAGUCAGCGGUGAACGUCUGUGGCUCAACCACAGAAUUGCCGUUGAAACUGGGAGGCUUGAGUGUGAGUGAGGCAGGCGGAAUGCGUGGUGUAGCGGUGAAAUGCUUAGAUAUCGCGCAGAACCCCGAUUGCGAAGGCAGCAUGCCAAGCCAUGACUGACGCUGAUGCACGAAAGCGUGGGUAUCGAACAGGAGUAGAUACCCGUGUAGUC
rnacentral:rRNA from 1 species